UCCACAGCCCACCAGCCCGAGAGGCCACAGCCUCGUGCCUCUCCACAUGACCACGCAAACCCUAAUCCGCCUCCACCCACAGCCGCCGCCUCCUCUCCCUCUCUACUCCCGAUUCAGAUCCAUGCCCAGCCUCCCUCGACGCGCGACUGCCACCCCCUUGAUCUCCCGCGCCGCCGCCCCAACCAUAUCCCGCUCCACCUCCGUCUCCCACCCUCUAUCGCUCCUCCACCGCCCCCACACUCUCCCCUAUGCAGCCUGCUCAGAUCCGCGAUGGGGGCACACGCGGCCGUAGCGGCGGUCCCGCAUCCGCGUCAAGGUCAGCCCCCUGUUCGUCGUCAUGGGCGCGGUGGUCAUGAGGAAGGUGGUUGAAGUCGGCGAGAUGGACGUUGUCGCCUACCCGCUGCCCAGGACCAAGGACGGCUGCCCCGACGCUCCGGUCUUCACAAUCUCGGUCUAGGAGAGGAGGGGUUGACCACUGUUUUAUUCAGCACUGCUUGGCCUUAUUCGCAUCGCCACAAGUGACCUCGCCGGACCACUUGCCAUGAAGGUAAUUGAGGUAGAACAGAAGAUAUUACACUUGAGUUUAGUUUAGAAGGGUAACUCCACUUGGGAUGGAACAGAUGAUACUACACUCAAGACAAGCAACACAGAUUAUAUGUAUGAUGUAUAUAAAUCUCCGUUGUGAUUGUGAUAUGUAAUUGUAAUCUGUUAUGGUGAUCUGAAUUUUGUAGUUGUGAAUCUGUAUUUGUGCACUAUAUGUUUUUCUUUGCUAAAUGGAGAUUCUUUA